GUCCUUUCUGUUGACCACAAAACUUGACUCCUACAGGCCUUCUGAGAAGCAUGGAGUAUUUUCCAGAAUUGUCCAUAUAAAGAGAUGUGGCUGAGAUACAGACAACUUACACAUGUCUUUCAAGAACAGUUUGCUGGGUGUUGACCAACAUCCAGGAACCACUAGAAGUGAAUCUCUUCUUGAGUAUUCCAUACUGCUGCCCCUGCUAUUCACUUGGGGUCCCAGUCAGUUGUUACUAUAUAUUUGUCAUCUAUUGUGAGAGUCGUGAUAUCACCUACCACAUCAGUGAUACUGAGAAGGAACAAAUCUGCCAAAGAUGCUUCACAGUUAGUUGUUACAUUUUUAAGAAGACUGUGCUUGAAAAUUAUGGUAAAACACAUUUAGAAGAAGGAUGUGCAUUUUCACAUCAGUCUAUGAAGUAUAACGACAUUUAAAUUAAAAUGCUGUUCUUCAAAAUUAAUUUUUCCUGUUUUAAUUCCAAGUUUUCUUGUACAGGGGAGAAGAGGUAAGGGGUAGCUCUAAUGUGUUGGCUUCAUUCACAGAAGAAACAUUUUUAUAAACAGUUAAGUGAUGCCAGCUUUCUGUUGAUGCCAUCAGAUCUUGCAAGCAAAAAAUAAGUUAAUUUCAAUAUCAGUUGAUAUUAUUUCAUUCAACCUAUGUAAUAAAGACU